CUAACAGGAGUAGAGGGGGAGGAGCAACAACAGACUAACAGAGGUAGAGAGAGAGAGGGGGAGGAGCAACAACAGACUAACAGAGGUAGAGAGAGAGGGGGAGGAGCAACAUCAGACUAACAGAGGUAGAGAGAGAGGGGGAGGAGCAACAUCAGACUAACAGAGGUAGAGAGAGAGGGGGAGGAGCAACAUCAGACUAACAGAGGUACAGAGGUAGAGAGAGAGAGAGUGCUGCAGAGAUGGUUGUCAUUCUGGAUGGUUCUUCCAUCUAAACAGAGGAUCUCUGGAGCUCUGUCAGAGCUCUGUCAGAGUAACCAUUGGGUUCUUGGUCACCUCCCUGACUAAAACUCUUCUCCCCCAAUUUCUUAGUUUGGCUGGGUGGCCAGCUCUAGGAAGAGUUUUGGUGGUUCCAAACAUCUUCUAUUAAACAAUGAUGAAGUGUUGAAGUGUGUUCUUGGGGACCAUCAGACAUUU
ensembl:lncRNA